CCCAGACUCCUACGGGAGGCAGCAGUGGGGGAUAUUGCACAAUGGGGGGAACCCUGAUGCAGCGACGCCGCGUGGGUGAAGGAGCGUUUCGGCGCGUAAAGCCCUAUCGGCAGGGAAGAAGGAGGACGGUACCUGACUAAGAAGCCCCGGCUAACUACGUGCCAGCAGCCGCGGUAAUACGUAGGGGGCAAGCGUUAUCCGGAUUUACUGGGUGUAAAGGGAGCGUAGACGGCGAUGCAAGUCUGAAGUGAAAGGCGGGGGCCCAACCCCGGGACUGCUCUUGGAACUGCGCGGCUGGAGUGCAGGAGGGGCAGGCGGAAUUCCUGGUGUAGCGGUGAAAUGCGUAGAUAUCAGGAGGAACACCGGUGGCGAAGGCGGCCUGCUGGACUGCGACUGACGUUGAGGCCCGAAAGCGUGGGGAGCAAACAGGAUUAGAUACCCCCGUACA
rnacentral:rRNA from 1 species